ensembl:lncRNA
CACAGAAAGGAAAGUAACACAAAAAAUAAAGACAAACGUGAAAAAGGAGAAAGUUGAAAAUAAUAACAGCAUGAUCAACAACAGCAGCAACAGUGGCAACAGUAUAAACAGCAGUAACAUCAGCAACAGUAACAGUAACAGCAGUAACAGCAUAGUAUUAGACGCAAAGGAAUUAAAAACAAAUUGUGUUAGAAUCGUAACUGAAUCGGACAUGCUUUUGUUAUAUAAAGAAUAUUUAAAUGGUAUUGCAAAUGAAAUAAAAAAUAAGAAGAAAAAGAACAAGAAGGAUGUGCAAUCUAAUAUAACGAAUGGCAUAAAUGGUGUAGUUAGUGAUGUAAUGACCGGUAAACUAACAAAGGGUAUAUGUAAAGCAAAUAGAACUCUAAACAAUAAUUUAAAAAAAACAGAAAAUGAUAAUUAUGGUUCUAAACUGGAUGCUAUAAUGGGAGAAGAUAUGGUAGAAAAAGAUGUGGUAGAAAAAGAUGUGGUAGAAGAAAAUGUUGUAGAAGAAAAUGUUGUAGAAGAAAAUGAGGUUGCACAAGUUGAAGAACAAGAUAAACGGUCUUUUUCUGUAAAUAAUUACAGUCAUGAUUAUACAAUUAAAACAAACUUCGAAUUGUUUCAUAGGAAAGUGGAAUGGUUUUAUCACUGGUUUAUUGAAAGUGCGUCAAACAUUGAGUAUGACCAUCGAUGGAGUAUAAUAUUACCUUAUAUUGUUUUGAAAUAUGAUGAAAAUAAUAUAAUUAAUCAUAAUAACUUCAUGAAAAAAUUAAAUAAAGAGUAUGUAAAAAAUGAAGCGAAUUCGAAAACCGCUUCAGUGAUAACAUCAAAAAAAAUGGAAACUGAUGAAGAGAAUGUAAAAAAAGAAAAGGAACAUAAAAAUGAACAAGCGGAAACGCAAGGACAAAAAAAACAAGAGAAAAAAAAUGAUGAACAAAAAAAUAAUAAAGAAGGAGGUAUUAUAUGUGAGAAGUCAAAUGGUGGUAUAAACAAUACGCAUGAUGAUUGUCAGAGUAAUAAAAAACGAAAAGUCAUUGUAGAAAUGAAUGGUUUACACAAAUCUAGCAAACCAUCUAAUGGUUUGAUCAAUGAAGGGGUAGAAGAAGAAAAAGAAGAAGAAGAAGAAGAAACAGGAGAAGAAGAAACAGGAAAAGAAGAAACAGGAGAAGAAAAAAAAAAUGACCUUGUGAUUAAUUAUAUGCAAAAAGGUAUUGAAAAGAAAGAUAAUAAUAUUAACAAUAAAGAUGAGACAAUUAAAAAGUUGUCAAGUCUAAAUGAGUAUGUACUUACUAAAGAAGUGGUGGCACAGGCUAUUGAAAACACAUUGAACUUGAAAGAAAAUAAGAGAGAAGAAGAAUAUUAUGCGUUUCAUAAAAAAUAUGAUGUUGUUUACUUGUGUUCGAGUGUGUUGGACUUGGAUGGAAAAGAAACAUGUGGAAACAAAAGCGACAGUGGAAGUGGCAAUGGAAGUGACAAUGGAAGUGGAAGUGGAAGUGGCAAUGGAAGUGGAAGUGGCAAUGGAAGUGGCAAUGGAAGUGGCAAUGGAAGUGGAAAUGAAAAUAAAAACGGAAAUGGCAACAAAGGACAUAAAGCAAAAGAUAUGAAAACGGAGGUAGAAAAUAUGGGAAAGAAAAAAAGUAAAAAAGUUCAAGCGUUAAAAAAUAAUAAAUUUAAUGACAUACAUGAAGAAACAAGUAAUACCAAAAUAUAUACACGCUCUCGUACUGCCAGUACUAGUACCAUUAUGAGUAACAGUAGUAAUAGUAAGAUAGGUGUUCAUACACGCAGUGGUAGUGUUAGUGGUAGUGUUAGUGGCAGUGUUAGUGGUAGUAGGAAGUCGUAUACUCAUAGUAAUAAUGUUAAACUAGGUAAACGUGUAGGUAUGUGUAAUGAUAUUGUUCAUAGUAAGUCAUACACACAUAAUGUCAAGUUAUCUACUCGCACACGUAGUGGCAUUAAUAAGCUAUGUACGAGUCCAGAUUCAGGUUCAGUUAGUGAAAGUGACAGUAGCAAUAAAAAACAAGAAGAGUACUACUAUUUUUAUUUAUUCGGUUUAGCUACAAUAUACACUUUUUUCACAUUUUAUUUCGAUCGUAAUCGGAUUUCGCAGUUUCUAAUAUUCCCACCAGUACAAGGAAAAGGAUUAGGUAUGACUGUUUUAGAAAAAAUAUAUCACUUAUCUAUUAUUAACAGUCAUAUAAAAGAAGUAACUGUCGAAGAUCCUGCAGCUUCAUUUGUACAAUUGCGAGACAUCAUUGCAAUAAAAAUAUGUAUCGAUUUGAAUAUAUUCAACAGAUGUAUUUUAUACCCAAAUGACUAUUUAAAAAAAAAAAAAAUAAUAAAAGAAAACUAUGUAUUUGAUAAGAAUAAGCUUAUGCAAAUUUGUAAGGAAACGCAUAAACAGAUAACUAGAAUGACAGAAAUUUUAUUAUUAGCUAGUGUGUUACCACAUCCAUUACCUGUAUAUAUAGAAACUGAAGAUAAGCCCUCUAACACUUUAAAAAAAAGAGAAAGAAGAAGUGAAAGUAACACUAGUGCUACUGUUUCUGCUGCUACUUCUACAAAUACUAAUAAUACAUACAUUGAAAACUCCAUGGAAAAAUUCGAAACUUCAGAUGCUUGUAAAGAAGUUCGAAUAAGAGUUAAAAAAAGAAUGAAACAAUUCUAUAUUAGUGAUAUGAUUAACAAAAAUAUGAGUUGCACAACUUCGGACAUAUUCCGCGAUUAUGUAAGUGAAAUGGGGGCAUAAGUGCUUUUAUAUGAUAUAUCACGUGUAUAUAUAUAUAUAUAUAUAUAUAUAUAUAUAUACGUUUGAGUUUAUGCGGGCCAGUUUUGUUAGCUUGCUUUUA